rnacentral:rRNA from 1 species
AGAUUGAACGCUGGCGGCAGGCCUAACACAUGCAAGUCGAGCGGCAGCACGGGUACUUGUACCUGGUGGCGAGCGGCGGACGGGUGAGUAAUGCCUAGGAAUCUGCCUGGUAGUGGGGGAUAACGCUCGGAAACGGACGCUAAUACCGCAUACGUCCUACGGGAGAAAGCAGGGGACCUUAGGGCCUUGCGCUAUCAGAUGAGCCUAGGUCGGAUUAGCUAGGUU